UUUAUUUCACCUUUUUUUCUUUUAGAUUCAUAUCAAUGUGCUUUGAUUUACUUGAAGAAAAAAAAAGAUUGUAAAAGGCCAAACCAUUGUUGUGCUCUAAACUCUUCUUGCUACAUUGCUUUUUGUGGAUGAGUGUGCUGCCCUCACAAGUGACACACAGAACUGACUCACCCUCUGUAUCCCUGUUUAUUCCCUCAAGCACAGACAUAUUCUAUGAAAAUUGAAAACUCUGGAUGGUUCCUAUGAUAAAAGUUGAAAAUGCCACUUGGGGUCUAGGAAACAAUAUUUAAUUUCAAGAAAUUGAAGCACUUCACUCAGAUUCAUCAUGUCAGGGUAAUGCAAGAUAAGAAUUCUUACUUACUGGAGGACCAGGUGGACCAGAAGCCUGGAAUAUACACUCCUUGCUUGCAUGGAACUUGAAUGGCACACAGGUUUUAGACUGGGCUGAAGUUACAAAGACACAACAGUUAGCAAAGCAUACCUUCUCUCCUUUGGAACCUGGGUCUCCUUUCAGGCCAGGCAAGCCAGCUUUCUCCAGGGUGACACUGAACAUCUGCAGCACUGCAUGAACCUUUUGGCCAGCAGAGAUAGCUCAGACUUUACAUCAAAGGAGGACCAGGUGGGCCAGCUUCACCUGAAGGACCUGGUGGACCCUGCAACAGAAAAUUAAAAUUACAGCAGUAAUAAAGGAUGAAGUUCUCAUCUUUAUUAAACACCACAGACAUAUGCCAUGUGUUAUCAUGUCCUUUCAAUGGACAGACUCUACAGAAAUAGAACUUUGAUGCUUAAUAUGGGUAUUGCUGAGGUACUGCUUAAGAUCUUGGCUUAAUUUUGUUAGUUCAGCUAAUGAAGAUUAUUUGGCUGCAGCAUUUCUUUCUUAUGCUCAGAGCUGCUCUAUUUUUAGUGCUCCUCAGCAGCUCCAGCAGAAAUCCUUUAACACAUCACUACUUCUAAAAGAAAUUGAGCUCUUGCUUAAUUGUGUUACAGUAAUAUGGGCAGUUCUUUCUCUUCAAGGAAAUAAAUAGUUAUUUUUCAGUAUAAUAGAAAAAGUGUCCACUCUGAAAAUAUUUUUAAGAGUAUGACUGCAUAGAAGCCACUGAUUUGGCAGAAGAUACUUAUCAUCAGAGAGCUCAUGCAGGUGAAAUAAAAUGAGAGAAAAAUCUUACAGGUUGACCAGGAUCACCAUCUUCACCCUUCUCUCCACCAACACCAUCCUGACCCUACAGAAUUCAAGGAAAAUAAACAAAAUUAAAAAUUCAGCUAAUGUAAGCCACUAAAUUUCAUAUAUGGAUAUAAGAGCAGUAUUUUUCUAUAGAGCAUUUUUCCAAGGUCAUUAUUUUUCAAAACUUAAAAAGAUUUUUUUCAUAUUUGUAAACCUUGAGAAAUGCAUGAACUCAAAAGCAAUGGAUCUUACAGGCAAGUGCUCAUGCCCAGACAGGAAAGAGAGAGGGUCAACUAGAAUUAAGUACAAACUAGGACUAGGACCUAAAACUGUUUUUAAGGUAUACUUACAGCUGGACCAGGUUCCCCAGGGGGACCAGGAUCUCCAGGAAAACCAACUGGGCCCUAUAUAGAUCAGGAAAAAAAGCAAGGAAUGUGUCAUCCAUUGCCAAGCAGGUAGCAUUUAUCAGAAAUCUUUUAUGAAGCAUAUAAUGAACACAGUGCACUUGUAGGAAAUGCUAUGGUUCUGUAUUAACACAAUGCUUCACAGUGGUUUGAGUUAGAAUUAUGAAGCUCACUUACUGGGUUACCCUUAGGCCCAUCAUCACCUGGAGGUCCUUUAGCACCUGGUGGUCCGGCUGCUCCAGGUGGACCAGCUUCACCUUUUUCUCCCCUUUCACCUUUUGGGCCCUGUGGGAACACAUGAACACAAAAAUGACAUCUGGAAAUGGAACGGCCAAAAAGAUCACAAUGGCUAACUGGUUUAUCAGUCAAUGGAAAUUUCUCCAUUUCCUUGAUAAAUAGUGGCAUGUGAGUGGGAAAUUAGGAUCUCUUAGGUCAAGUGCCACAUUCUGUACCCAGACUGCAUCAGUGAACUGUUUCCAGGAAGAAAAACAUGCAAGCCAAAGUUAAUACUUAUUGAAGGAAAAAUAGGUAUUGUUUUGGGAAGUCUCCAUCCUCUGUUAGUACAAGAUGUGGCUAUGAUUAUAUGGAAAAAAAUGUCAUUUUAAAGGUAUAAGUUUUCUGCUGAAAAUUCAAAGGAAACAUGCACAAGUGUUCAAGUGAUCUGAGGAAAUGCUUACCAAAGCCCUGCCAGAUACCACAGUUCACCACAAUAAAUGUUAAUAAUAAGACAACAACAAAAUACUCACAGCUGUUCCAGAUUCUCCAGGAGGUCCAGGGUUACCAGCUUCUCCAGGCUCACCCUACAGAUGCAUAAGAAUAAAUUUAUGAGUCAUUAGGGAGAACAUUUUGAUGAAUUUACUUCUGUAAUUGCAUAUUCUUCCCAUGCUUAUUUAUGUAAACAACUUAUAAGAAGGGUUUUUAUUUGGUCUACCUAGAGGGGUUGAGUUAUGCAUAUGGUUUUUCAGAACUGGAGUCUGAAAUUUGAGACAUAAUACAUCAAACUAAUAUUUUCUUGAGCCAGGGACACUAAACUUCCCUUUGGGCUUUGGAAGAUGUUCCCCUUUAUUAUUCCAUACUGCAAAUUUCCUGCUUGUGAUUAUUGCUAUAGCUACUGUUGGAAGAAGAAAAAACUAUAUAAAGAAAAACCUAAGGACGAAAUAAUAGCAUCCAUUAGAAAAAGUUUCUCCACAGGCUACAGAGGUGAGUGUUACAUAUUUACCAGUGAUAGAAUUUAUUUUGUAAAGCAGAUGGCUUUCAGGAUGAUACUGUAUGAAAAGAAAAUCUGUGCAAGUCAAAGAUUGUGCACUAUUAAGUGAACAUUUAAGAUAAUUCAGUCUCCUUCUGAGCCAAUACAUAGUAUUAUCUCAAGGACUGUCUUUACAAGUUUUCAUUUUAAUGUUUAGUUAUGACCAAUUAUUUUCUAGCUCAGUGGUCUGAUGAAUAAACUUUAAUAGAAAACUCUUCUGCUAGAAUAUUUAGUUAUUAGCAUCACAGAAACAUAAACCAUGGAAGGAUAAGAGAAUAUGCUUUGUGAUUGUUAUGGAGUGCUUGGAUAAGAAAUACAUGCUCUUAUCCCAAAGGAUUUUUCAAUCCAACUGCUAAUGGGGGCAAAUAUAUUCUUUUUCCAAUAAUUAUGUCUAUCAGCAAGAGUAGUUCAGUGCUGAAAAUACAUUUUACCCAAUGAUUUACUGAAUUCACAGAACUGGAAUAAAUUUCUGUAUCCUUCCUAACCUGUGUGACCUGCACGCCCCUCUUCAUUUUAUGACAAUUCUGUUAAUUCAUACAUGUCAUUUCCACGUGGUCAGUAUAAAACUUUAAAUCAUAAAAUACAAUUUGAACCCAAAACUUUGGUGUAGGUACUGAACCUUUUUUUUCAGAGAAGCUCAAAGCACCAAGAUAACCUCACGGGGACAGAAUUUGGCCCAGUACAAAUAUUUCAUUAGAUUAAAGGAAAAUAUUUCAGUACCUCUCAACUGAAUUCCAGACUAGGAUAAUUAACAAAUAACCAAUAUUUUAGGAGCAAUAUUAAAAUGCCCUUUACAAAGGGCACUAUUAAAGGGUGAAUGUGCCUUUAGAAACUCUGGUAUGUUCUAUUAGAUAUAUAAAAUUUCUAGAAACUUCAAAAAUGAAUGAUUCCUUUUAGGGUUUGAUAUUAAUUUACUUCUGUGACGUUGCAUUCAUUUCAAAACAAAACAAAACCUGUAGUGGAUGCUUCAGAUCAAUAAGUGUUAGGAAUGUUUUCUAAGAAAAUUAAUAAUCUUCAUUUCCUUAUUCUCUGCCCAGCAUUUACUGAGUCUGCAGCAUCAUUAGCAUUGGGGUUUUGUCCAUGCCUACUGUCAAUCAAAUGAGAUUUUUGUAGCAACAGAGAAUGAAGUCUGGAAUCAGCAAAAUGUGUUUUUCACAUCAGUAGCCAUACUAUAGCCACAGAGUCCACUCUAUAGAGCCUUUCCAAAGCGUUGGAGAGAUGGAGUAGGAUGAGAAAAAAAUCACAGUCAGGAGGUCAUGUGAAGUCAUUAAAGAUAAAAGGUAAAAUAAUAAACGAAUUUACCUGUAAGCCAAUAGGGCCUGGGGGCCCAGGGAAGCCUCGAGGACCUUCAUCACCUUUUUGCCCAAACAUCCCUUGCUGACCUCGUGGGCCUGGCUCUCCAUCACCUCCCUGUUGGGAAAAAAUGAAGAGCAG